GUUCACUCAUUCAAGCAUGUGGGAGAUACAUGGUAUGUGCUGGUGCUAUUCGAAGCUCAAGGAUAUAACAAAGAAUGAGACUUGCUUGCUUUCCUGUGUUGUUACUAUGGGGACAGGAGGUAAGUGAACAAAUCUAAUAACUCAUGAAGAAAACACUCAAGCAGAGAGGCAGCUGUGAAGGUGUUGGGGCUGGAGGGGGUGAUGGCGACUCAGCACACAUGGUCCCAGAGUGCUUCUGAGGCUGGAGUCGUGACAGAAAGCACUGGUCUCGGGUGACAGGGCAGCAAGGGCAAGAGCUGCAGCGCGGAAAGCCAGGCAGGGCUGUGGGAGCCAGGAAGGAGGAACCAAGGUGGAAGGAGAGGCAAGGAGACAACAGCCACACGGGGCCCAGAGGCUGUGAUGCGCAAGGAGUGUGGCAGAAGCCUGCAAGCAUUCACUCAGAGAGGAUGCAGACCUGGGUCUGUGAGUCCUUUGUCAUCUCUACUAAAACUGUCCCAGCUGUGAAGCUGUGGGGCCUGCAUGGAGACCCCUUGACAAGAAGCCUCAUGUCAGCACAUUCAGUUUAGCACACAAUGUAAAUGAUUUGGAAUGGUUACUGCAGCCAGCAUUGUUUAGGAACAAAAUGGGAACUAACUGACUUGUAAUCUACUUUCCCCCAGGUGUUUCAUGGAUCCUCACUCACACUCAGAUUCAAGGCAUUUGUAGGGAUGGCCCUUUCAGACUUUGCUCUGGUUGAUCAGCACAUGGAGACAGAUAUACAUGACCAUGCUGGAAACACCGUAAGAGUCUUCCAUUAGGUUCUGGAUCAGAGAAUUCUAAUAUGUCCCUCCCCACUUUUGCAAGCCACUUUCUUUUGUAUCUUACAGAGAAUAAAGCUAAGAAGGCUCAAGAAUUUAAUCCCUAAAUUCUGCUUUGGUGCUUAUAAAAAUUCUUCCAGGACUGGAGAUAUAAAUCAAUGGUAGAUUGAUUGCCUUGCAUAUGCAAAACUCUGAGUUCCAUGCCCA
rnacentral:lncRNA from 1 species